rnacentral:misc_RNA from 1 species
GAAAUGCGAUACGUCAUGCGAAUUGCAGAAACUUGUGAGUCAUCAAAAUUUUGAACGCAACUUGCACUUCCGAAAGGGAGUAUGUCUGUUGGAGUGUCUGUUCAUCCCCACUUUCGUCCCCAGCGGACGGGUAGUGCCGACCGAUUGUCGUACACCUUAAACAGGUGAUGGGCAACUGAGUCUAGAUGAAACACCAAUCAACCGAACUCGCCCCUGCUCUCUGCUAAAGGAAGAGCUUGGACGACGCGACGUGGGGAAUUAUUUCUACAUGAGCGUCUUGCAUCCUUGCCCAACUUCGUUUGGUACACCAAAAGAGAACCUCGGCAUAACAUGAGUUCAUCCGAUCGGACCUCCAAUCAGGCAAGAAUACCCGCCGAAUUUAA